rnacentral:misc_RNA from 1 species
UCGAGUUUUUAACUCUUAAACCAUUUGUGAACUUACCUUGGCUGGGUAGGAUGCACGGUAGCAAAACUCUAUCUAGAGCUAUCCUGGGAUAAAAAUAAGUCA